GGUUGGUGAUUCAUUUGUUCAACGUCAGACGUCAAGUCACGUGAGUUACGUCACUACGUAGGUACGGGGCACAGAACGAGGGAAGACAUGGCGACGGUAGGCAACAACUUUGAAAUAGAGGAUGCACCGAGCGGUUAUAAAUCACCUGUGUGGCGGCAUUUUGGAUUCCCCAUAUACACAAAUACAACCGGAAUCCAGUCAGUGUUGUGAGACACUGGUGGCUCCCAGUCAUUCAUCCUUUCCACUGUGCUGCCUUUGAGUGAAGAGUCUGCCUGUGACGCGAGUACCAUCGUAAGAGGUUGCCACCUAUUGGUGAAUUGGAGAACUGCACUACAGAACCAGAAAGGUGUGAAGGUGUGGCAGAACCUGUUGCUGCUGGAAAAUAGUUUAGGUGUAUCCAGCAGUAAUCCUUGGAGCUCCCAUUGUCGGCUGUCUCUUAAGCAAGCAAGGAUACAACCUAGAGGUAAUGCACAAGAAGGGGGCUGAUAAUGUGGUGAUGCCCUGUCC